CAUCCCGAACAGGACCGUGAAACGACUCCACGCCGAUGAUAGUGCGGAUUGCCCGUGUGAAAGUAGGUAAUCGUCAGGCU
rnacentral:rRNA from 1 species